rnacentral:rRNA from 1 species
CCUACGGGUGGCAGCAGUAGGGAAUAUUGCUCAAUGGGGGAAACCCUGAAGCAGCAACGCCGCGUGGAGGAUGAAGGUUUUCGGAUUGUAAACUCCUUUUGUUAGAGAAGAUAAUGACGGUAUCUAACGAAUAAGCACCGGCUAAUUCGGGCCAGAAGGCGGCGGAAUACGGAGGGGGCAAGCGUUACUCGGAAUCACUGGGCGUAAAGAGGGGGGAGGCGGGAUAGCAAGUCAGAUGUGAAAUCCUAUGGCUUAACCAUAGAACUGCAUUUGAAACUGUUAUUCUAGAGUAUGGGAGAGGUAGGUGGAAUUCUUGGUGUAGGGGUAAAAUCCGUAGAGAUCAAGAGGAAUACUCAUUGCGAAGGCGACCUGCUAGAACAUAACUGACGCUGAUGCGCGAAAGCGUGGGGAGCAAACAGGAUUAGAUACCCCAGUAGUC